rnacentral:rRNA from 1 species
AUACCAUUGACCGUUCUAGAGAUAGGAUUUUCCCUUCGGGGACAAUGGAUACAGGUGGUGCAUGGUUGUCGUCAGCUCGUGUCGUGAGAUGUUGGGUUAAGUCCCGCAACGAGCGCAACCCCUGUCGUUAGUUGCCAGCAUUCAGUUGGGGACUCUAACGAGACUGCCAGUGACAAACUGGAGGAAGGUGGGGAUGACGUCAAAUCAUCAUGCCCCUUAUGACCUGGGCUACACACGUGCUACAAUGGUUGGUACAAAGAGAAGCGAAGCGGUGACGUGGAGCAAACCUCAUAAAGCCAAUCUCAGUUCGGAUUGUAGGCUGCAACUCGCCUACAUGAAGUUGGAAUCGCUAGUAAUCGCGAAUCAGAAUGUCGCGGUGAAUACGUUCCCGGGUCUUGUACACACCGCCCGUCACACCACGAGAGUUUACAACACCCGAAGUCAGUGGCCUAACCGCAAGGAGGGAGCUGCCUAAGGUGGGGUAGAUGAUUGGGGUGAAGUCGUAACAAGGUAUCCCUACCGGAA